rnacentral:rRNA from 1 species
GAUGAACGCUGGCGGCGUGCCUAAUACAUGCAAGUCGAGCGCACGGACGAGAAGCUUGCUUCUCUGAUGUUAGCGGCGGACGGGUGAGUAACACGUGGAUAACCUACCUAUAAGACUGGGAUAACUUCGGGAAACCGGAGCUAAUACCGGAUAAUAUUUUGAACCGCAUGGUUCAAAAGUGAAAGACGGUCUUGCUGUCACUUAUAGAUGGAUCCGCGCUGCAUUAGCUAGUUGGUAAGGUAACGGCUUACCAAGGCAACGAUGCAUAGCCGACCUGAGAGGGUGAUCGGCCACCCUGGAACUGAGACACGGUCCAGACUCCUACGGGAGGAACAAGUAGGGAAUCUUCCGCAAUGGGCGAAAGCCUAACGGAGCAACGCCGCGUGAGUGAUGAAGGUCUUCGGAUCGUAAAACUCUGUUAUUAGGGAAGAACAUAUGUGUAAGUAACUGUGCACAUCUUGACGGUACCUAAUCAGAAAGCCACGGCUAACUACGUG